rnacentral:rRNA from 1 species
AUUGAACGCUGGCGGCAGGCCUAACACAUGCAAGUCGAGCGGAGCGGCGGACGGGUGAGUAAUGCCCAGGAAUCUGCCUGGUCGUUGGGGAUAACGUCAGGUAACGGGCGCUAAUACCACAUCCUAUCAGAUGAGCCUAGGUCGGAUUAGCUAGUUGGUGUGGUAAAGGCCUACCAGGGCGACGUUCCAUAUCUGGGCUGAGAGGAUGAUCAGUCACACUGGAACUGAGACACGGUCCAGACUCCUACGGGAGGCAGCAGUGGGGAAUAUUGUACAAUGGGCGAAAGCCUGAUGCAGCCAUGCCGCGUGUGUGAAGAAGGUCUUCGGAUUGUAAAGCACUUUAAGUUGGGAGGCGUUACCAACAGAAUAAGCACCGGCUAACUUCGUGCCAGCCGCCGCGGUAAUAC